GGAAUGAGAGAGUAGGCCUUCCGAUGUCUGUGUGCUAAUAUUGCCUCACUACUCUGUUAAAGGACCUAUCAACGAAUAUGAAAACCUGGACUGCAUCGAUCAACUGUUGACUGAACCGUUAAUUAAUGAAACAACGGGUCAGAGCAAAUCUGUCAACAGAGGUGUACAGCUGGAAACGGUACAAGACACAAUCUUUAUCAGGAGAACGGAGAACCGAUCAAACACAGUCACGUCAAAUACCUUCUGUGUUAAACGCAUCAGUUGAUUUGUACGCUACCAGUUUGCAAAUUGACAAAACCCCACAGCAAUCUUCGAUAAUGAUGCGUUCAUGAGGGAUUGGGACGCCCUCAGCCACCCCAUACUUCCAGACAACACCGAUAAUGCUGUCUCAUCACCCGGUGGGCCUGUGCUAAACGAUGCGGGGGGUGUGAUUUCGGUUAAAUAUAUUGGCUAACAUCAAUAACGCUGUCAUAGGUAAUAGAAAAUAACUAAUUGUGUUUAUGAUAGAUUUGUGUUUUGUUUUAUUUAGUUGAUCUGUGAUUGUUUUUUUUCAUAAAGUAGAUUUGUGUAAUCAGUGGAGAAUAAAACUGAAUUGAAAAAAGAUUUCAAUAUGACGAGUAAAAGAGCACAUUCAGAUGAUGAAUUUGAACAAAAUCCUUCUGCAAGAACUAGAUACGAUCAUUCGUCAAAUAUUGAACGGCUACAAAGCAUAAUUGAUCAUCAGAUGGAGGUUUUAGGGCCUGCCUAUUUGGAUUUAAAUGCUAGAUUAGAGGCUAUUAUUCAAACGCAGAGAAGAAGUCUAAAUGAUUCUAAUGGCGAUAAAGACUGUGAAAUGUUAAAUCAUUCGCUAGAACCAGCAUCACACAGUUCAUCCACAUUAACAUCAGACCCCUCGCGCUCUGUGUGCCAACAAUUAGAAGACAUGAUCCAAAAAUAUAAUGACGAAGUGGGGGUCUCACGACCUACCCUUUGUGAAAGAUUAGAAGCGAUGAUAAAAAUGCACAAGAACACUAAUAAUGAGGAUGAGCUGAUUGUUGAUGCGGUACAGACUGGUGGUGAAAGCAAUAUUUCAUCAGACACGAAUGAACCCCAUGUGAGUUUAAGUCAGAACGAUGUUGAAGGAUUGGUUAGAAACGGAGGUGUUGUAAACGAGAGGGGGGUGUGUGCGUAUUCUGAAAGACCUCCCACCCCAGACCUCUGACUUCCUGUAAGAGCUCAGUGUCGAUUGAAAGACUUU